AACGAACGCUGGCGGCGCGCCUAAUACAUGCAAGUCGAACGAGAAUGUGUAGCAAUACACAUGUAAAGUGGCGAACGGGUGAGGAAUACAUAGGUAACCUACCCUCGAGUGGGGAAUAACUAGCCGAAAGGUUAGCUAAUACCGCGUACGCUCCUUGGACUACGGUUCGGGGAGGAAAGCGAUACCACGGGUAUCGCGCUCUUGGAUGGGCUUAUGUCCUAUCAGCUUGUUGGUGAGGUAAUGGCUCACCAAGGCUUCGACGGGUAGCUGGUCUGAGAGGACGAUCAGCCACACUGGCACUGCGACACGGGCCAGACUCCUACGGGAGGCAGCAGUAAGGAAUAUUGCGCAAUGGGCGACAGCCUGACGCAGCGACGCCGCGUGGGGGACGAAGGUCUUCGGAUUGUAAACCCCUUUCGGGAGGGAAGAUGGGAUGGGCAACCAUUCGGACGGUACCUCCAGAAGCAGCCACGGCUAACUUCGUGCCAGCAGCCGCGGUAAUACGAAGGUGGCAAGCGUUGUUCGGAUUUACUGGGCGUACAGGGAGCGUAGGCGGUUCAGUAAGCCCUUUGUGAAAUCUCCAGGCUUAACCUGGAACAGCCGGAGGGGACUGCUGAGCUAGAGGAUGGGAGAGGAGCGCGGAAUUCCCGGUGUAGCGGUGAAAUGCGUAGAG
rnacentral:rRNA from 1 species